rnacentral:rRNA from 1 species
AAACCUGAGAAACCCGAAAGAUCGAAUGGGGAGAUUCAUCGUCAGCGAUCUCGGCAAUUGCGCGGCUCGCGAUGACACGGACCCUCGCGGUACCGUGGCACGCGUCCGUGUGGUUUACGUGCCGAGUGUCGUCGGCGUGCACUUCUCCCCUAGUAGGACUUCGCGACCCGUUGAGUGUCGGUCUACGGCACGGGUGGAAGCCUGUCGCGUGUCUCGCCUCACGGCGUUACGUGGCAGACCCCCGGUUGUCUGACCAGCUGCUCGGCGGUACUCGAACGGUAUCGAGCCGCAAACUUUUGAAAUGCGUCCGGCCCGCCGCAAGCGAGGCCCAGUGAUCCCGGAGUGACGGACUUUGCGCCGUCGCCGGGCCUGGCCGGCUGUUGGUUGGCGGUGUCCUGGGACUGGCUCUUUAUUACCGGUCAGCGAGGCUACUGCUUUGGGUACUUUCAGGACCCGUCUUGAAACACGGACCAAGGAGUCUAACAUGUGCGCGAGUCAUUGGGAAAUUUGAAACCUAAAGGCGAAAUGAAAGUGAAGGUCGGCCUCGCGCCGACCGAGGGAGGAUGGACCGCGUUACGAUGCGGUCCCGCACUCCCGGGGCGUCUCGUUCUCAU